rnacentral:lncRNA from 1 species
GGAGAGAGAUGGAGAUAUGCCAGGCCCGAUGGGGAUCGGCAGCCGCUAGGGAUUUUGACCCCUCCUCUGAUCUGCCACUUUGCAAUUUUGGCCCUUCUCCUUUUCUUCUUUCUUCACAAGAAGGUCCCUUUCUUCUUUAACUUGUCCCCUGGAGCAUCAUUUCUUCACACACAAGUCCCUCUGUCUUUCUUCUUUAUUUUCACUUGACUGGUUCUCUUAACCACUAGUCCGGAUCUUGAAGUUUAUAGUGCCUUUGCACACUUUUCUGCAAAACAAAAAAAUGACUAGUAAAUGAUUUUUUAUAUGAUUAUCAUUCACAAAUUCAACAAUUGAUAGCAAGAAAUGAAUGAAUAAAACUCAAUAAACCAAAUAUUUGAUUGCCAAAAGAUGUAUGUGAAAUGUGUUGAUCAAGUUCCCCCACACUUAAAUCUUUGCUUGUCCUCAAGCAAAGGUAGAUGACAAGAGCAAGAAUAUGAACAGUGAGCUGAGUAAAGCAUGUCCUGGUAAAAUAGAUCUCCAAACAAUGCAUGCUUUGGACUUAGCUAGUGAAAAUUGAUGGUUAAGAGUGCUACAAAGCAGUAGGAUACUAGUAAGCAUGACCAUUUUAAACUUUUACAAUGAUAAAAGAGGAUCAACAGGUUUAAACGAUGACUGCGCCAAAUGGUUCCUAAAGAGAGCAUGAUUCCGAGAACAAAAAGAACUGGAAUUAAAUAUCUUAUUUACAAAAAUAUAACUUUGUGGUUGAACCACUUAUUGAAUUUGAAGAAAGUAAUGAUAAUAUUUUAUCAGUCUUACAAAAGGAACAUGCCACCGAUCCCGAGAACAUGGUAUACACCUGGCUCGACCAAUUAUUAGUUAGUUUUUUUGUUUGUCUCCCCAAAGGAACAUACCACCGAUCCAGAGAACAUGGUAUACACCUGGUUCGACAAUUACAUUUUUAUUUAUUUAUUACUGUCCAAGCUACCAGAUUUCACAUGCCACCGAUCUAGGGAACAUGACAUGCUACUGUAGGUAGACCAGACUUAUUUAUUCAUUAUUACCUAUCUUAAAUGGACAACACAUAAGCACAAAAACAGGAAUCAUCACUUCUCCAUGUCUGGUUCACAUGCUACCGAUCCAGGGAACAUAGCAUGCUAAUCCAUAGUGGUUAGGUAAUUGCUCUCAAUGGGAACACACUUAGCACAAAUUCAGCAUCUAAACAUGGUGAUCUAGGUGUAUCAUAGUAAAUGCAGAAAAUGAUUAAGUUUUCUAGUGUACUAGGGAUUUGAGCACUCAAAACUAAUAGCUUCCACUACUUUCAGCAAAGCAAGCAUUGUAUAGAUCACUAGUUUACAAGGCAUUCAACACUCAGUUCACAUAUUCACAUCAAUCACCCUAUGUCGAAGGUAAAAUUCAGUGGGACGAUAUUUAAGAAAUUGCUCAAGCGACCCAAAUAGCAGUUGAUUACAGCAUGUAUAAUGUAUGAUGGUAUUCAGAUUGGGGUCAUGAAACAGCUCACUGGGAUUAUAUGAUGUAGGUCUCGCUCGAUCACUCUCACAUCCUCGUGCAUUGCGACUCCUCUCCUUUUGCUUCCUCAUGCAUGCUCCAGCUUCACUCUUCUUCGUGUGUGCUCCUUGCUUCUCCUCGUCACCAUGCCUUGAAUCCACCGGGGUCCCAAGGGAUGUCACCUGGAACCUGGUCAGCAUGUAGUAAAUGGUGCAGUAGAAAAAACCUGAAAGAACACUCCACAAAUGAUACAAUGCAAGCGGUAGGGAUAAUACCCUCCAAGUCAUCAAUCGAGUGUCCAAUUACAUAAGCAUAGCUAUAAAGCACAUGUUUAGGAUGGUAUAAAUCAGUAAGCUCAGUGCUAGCUUGAGGAUGAUAUGAAUCAUUAAGCUCCAGACUAGCAUGGGGAAAAUAAGUGUCAUCAUCAUAAAUGAGAGAAAUGCCAAUAACAGAGUAUGUAUGAUCAUGUUCAAGCAAACAUUUUUUCAAGUCUUGCUUAAUUGAUGGUAUCAUGCAAUGCAAAAUAGAAGCAAAGAAACCAUAAGGGAGCAUGUCAUCAAGAGGAUUGGGUAAACCUGACACCUCACGCUCAUGUAUGACAAUAGGCCAAUGAAUCUCAAGUUCUUCAUCUUCAUCUACAAUAGCUUCUUGUACUUCUUCAGGAGUAGUAGAUGAUGAAUCUUCAACUUGAUCACUUUGGAAUUGCAGCUCUUGAUCAUCUUGUUCCUUGGCUUCGAGUAUUUCUUCUCGGAUAUGAAGUAUCUCUUCCUCUGGACUCUCGCUAUCUUGCUCAGCUGAAUGUGAAGGUGUUGGAACCUCACAUGUAUCAAGGGAUAUCCCAGGAAUACUUAGCUCUAGCUGUGAAGAAAUAGUGCUGCCAGCAUUGAUAUUCUUCUCAAUUUUCCUUACUUCUUCCACUAGCUCUUUUCCACUUUUGAUCUUCUUCAUUUCGUCUAGUAUCACCGGCCUAAUUGGAUCAUCUUUAGCACUCCAAGUGAACUCGAGACUAAGCAAUGUGAGCUUGUCUAUAUCAUCAAAAUCAUCUUGUGUGGGCACUUGUGUCGAAGGUGUUGGUUGACCAAAUGGAGGACCAUUUAACUCCAUUGGCAACAUCUCCAGGUGUUGAGGUAUAUGAGUAGGAGGUGAAUAGAAUUGUUGUGGUGCAUAGUUGUUGCUCUCCUCUUCAUACCUAAAUCCCUGCAUAUGAUUACUAGAAGCAAACGGUGAGAUCUCAAGGUUGUUGCUCCUGUAUGACAUAUUCUGGUUUUCAGGCCACUCAUAUGAGUAAUUGUUUUGGUAUGAGCUAGGCUGUGGGGCGAAGCUCAGGCCAUAACAAUCGGGAGGGUGAGAGUAACCACACUGACAUUCAGCGGGUGAAUGGCCCUGAAAUCCACAAAUAUGGCAAGUAGGAGCAACAUAAGGAUAGCCUCUAGAAUAAGGAUCAUAAGAGCUAGGCCUAUCCUCAAAAACUAUUUCUCGCUGCCAAGCUAAAUCAUCUAAUCGAUGGGAAAUCUUACUUAUCAAGUCUUGAAUACUUUCUGUGCUGUUUGUAGUGUUGCUCGCAAAAGCUUGAUGAUCUGAAUAGUAAGCCAUAUUUGAGAAGAUGCAAUAAACUGCAGAAUGACCAAGCAAAGAAAGAGAAAAUAACUUGAACAAGGGUUAGGGGUUAGAGAUAUAUCACACAUAUAGCACAAAGGGAAAAACAAGAAAAACCUAGUCUAUAGCCUAACACAAUCGCUCGACGCUAGUCCCCGGCAACGGCGCCAAAAUGAUCGAUUGUAAGUACAGUGGGGUUUUUACGCCCAAAACUGCGAGUGUCGUGUUCCCCACAGGGACUAGGCGACGACAGUCGUGCUCGGCUAAAGCUAGAUCAGACGGAAAGGUUUUUGAUAUCGCAAGACAAACGAAAGUAAAGCAAGUUUGUACCAGAAAAUCCUUGACAAAUAAAAUGUACUCACUAUAUUUUUGGUGUUUUAUUUGUUUUACUUUGGGAACUAAAAUACUAGCACAUGCUAACAAGAGAAAUAAGGAAAACUACAAGACAACAACACAUAUAUGUUCAACAACUAGUAUGAAAGAGAAGAAUUAAGAUCAAGGGACAAGAACAUAAGUACUUCACAUCACAAGCAUAUAUAUAUUCACACGUACAUAGCGAACACAAGGACUAAGAAUUAAAGAUGUUCAAACUACUCACUUGACAGAGAGCACAAACAGCACAAAAAUAGACAAGUAAGCUAGGUUCUUACAAAUCACUAGUUGAUAAACAGAGCACAUAUAUUGAACAGUACUACUAGACAAAUCUGAACAACACAUGCCAUACAAAUCUCAAUUCUAAACAUUACAAAAUACUGAACAUUAUACUACUCAAGAUUACAGAAAUUAGAGAGAGAGAGAGAGAAACAGCAGCAGCAAGUUGGGGGAGUUGAGCGGAGGAGCAGCAGCAGUAGGUUCAGAGAAAGAGUAGCAGUAGGUUCAGAGAAGGAGCGGCAGCAAGGUUUGGGAAGAAGAGGCAGCAGGGGAAAGGAGUAGCAGCAGUGUAGAGGCGCUGAGGAAAGCACCAGCAGUAUGGGGUUCAGAGUACGCCGUGGGAGAAGAAGGGUUGUCGGAGCAGCAGUAGCGUGGAGGUGAGGAAGAAGAAAGAAAACAGCAGCACGGGGAAGAAGAAGAGCAGCAGUAGGGUUAGAAGAAGAAGAAAGGUGGAGGAGCAGCAGUAGGGUUAGGAGAAGAAGAAAGGUGGAGGAGCAGCAGGGAGAUGGGUGGCGAGGCGGUUCUGGUGGCGGCGUUGAUGGAGGCGCGGUGGUGGAUUGGGCACCGAUGGUGGUGCAGGUGGAUGGUGGCGAAGAUGGCGCUGGUGAUGGCGUGGUGGAUGGUGCAAAUCGAGUGGAUGUAUGGCUGUGUGGCACUGGCGGCGGCGUGGAGAUGGAUCGGUGCUGGUGGAUGCUGGUGAUGACGCGGUGGCGCGGCGGGUGGUGGAGAUGGAGUGGAUAUUGGAGUGGUGACUGGAUGGAUGGCGCGCCACCACGACGGCCUGGCCGCGACGGCGGCCGGAGGGUGGAGAAGAAGGGGAUCGGGGGAGAGAGAUGGAGAUAUGCCAGGCCCAAUGGGGAUCGGCAGCCACUAGAGAUUUUGACCCCUCCUCUGAUCUGCCACUUUGCAAUUUUGGCCCUUCUCCUUUUCUUCUUUCUUCACAAGAAGGUCCCUUUCUUCUUUAACUUGUCCCCUGGAGCAUCAUUUCUUCACACACAAGUCCCUCUGUCUUUCUUCUUUCUUUUCACUUGACUGGUUCUCUUAACCACUAGUCCGGAUCUUGAAGUUUAUAGUGCCUUUGCACACUUUUCUGCAAAAGAAACAAAUGACUAGUAAAUGAUUCUUUAUAUGAUUAUCAUUCACAAAUUCAACAAUUCAUAGCAAGAAAUGAAUGAAUAAAACUCAAUAAACCACAUAUUUGAUUGCCAAAAGAUGUAUGUGAAAUGUGUUGAUCA